GAUGAACGCUAGCUACAGGCUUAACACAUGCAAGUCGAGGGGAAACGAUAGAGAAAGCUUGCUUUUUCUAGGCGUCGACCGGCGCACGGGUGAGUAACGCGUAUCCAACCUGCCCAUCACUUGGGGAUAACCUUGCGAAAGUAAGACUAAUACCCAAUGAUAUCUCUAGAAGACAUCUGAAAGAGAUUAAAGAUUUAUCGGUGAUGGAUGGGGAUGCGUCUGAUUAGCUUGUUGGCGGGGUAACGGCCCACCAAGGGCGACGAUCGAGUAGAGGUUCUGAGAGGAAGGGUCCCCCCACAUUGGGAACUGGAGACACGGUCCAAAACUCCUACGGGAGGCAGCAGUGAGGAAUAUUGGUCAAUGGACGAGAGUCUGAACCAGCCAAGUAGCGUGCAGGAUGA
rnacentral:rRNA from 1 species